GGCCCUGUAGCUCAGGAGGAUAGAGCAGCGGUUUCCUAAACCGAAGGUCGGGGGUUCGAGUCCCUCCAGGGCCACCU
rnacentral:tRNA from 1 species